GGAGAGGUGACCGAGUGGUUGAAGGUACUGGUCUUGAAAACCAGCGGGCGGGAAACCGUCUCGUGGGUUCGAAUCCCACCCUCUCCGCCA
rnacentral:tRNA from 1 species